UGAAAUGCGCUGAAAAAGAGGAGUAUCCAUGAGGAUGUGCCAGAGAGGAAAACCCCAAGGCUGAAAGGUUUUCUCAUUUGAACCGUGGAGAAGGUAGCUUUUGAGCUUCUGGACUGAACUUUUAUCUGUAAGUCCAGACGGUUGUUCCCAACCGUUAUGUUUUGAGAGCCCAUGGAAGUGGGAAUAAAGGUGGUACCGCGAGUCUUCGUCCUUUUU
rnacentral:ncRNA from 1 species